rnacentral:rRNA from 1 species
CCUACGGGAGGCAGCAGUGAGGAAUAUUGGUCAAUGGGCGCAAGCCUGAACCAGCCAAGUCGCGUGGGGGAUGACGGUCCUAUGGAUUGUAAACCUCUUUUGUCGGGGAGCAAGGCCCGCCACGUGUGGCGGGACGGAGAGUACCCGCAGAAAAAGCCUCGGCUAACUCCGUGCCAGCAGCCGCGGUAAUACGGAGGAUGCGAGCGUUAUCCGGAUUUAUGGGGGUUAAAGGGUGCGUAGGCGGAAGGUUAAGUCAGCGGUAAAAUGUCGGUGCCCAACACCGGCCUGCCGUUGAAACUGGGAGUCUUGAGUGAGCGAGAAGUAGGCGGAAUGCGUGGUGUAGCGGUGAAAUGCAUAGAUAUCACGCAGAACGCCGAUUGCGAAGGCAGCAUACCGGAGCUCAACUGACGCUGAGGCACGAAAGCGUGGGGAUCGAACAGGAUUAGAUACCCCUGUAGUC